GGGGGGGGUAAAGAAAAGAAUUAACUGCAGAUUUCAGUUACAGAUAUUCCCUCCCCUCUCUCAUUUCCCCUGAUUUCACGCUGAAUAUUCCCUCCCCUCACAGACCCUCUCUCAUAUUUUAACACCUAGCAUAUAUAUACACACUCCUCUGGACAGAAUUGAGGUCAUUCAUUGAUAUACACACUCCUUCACUCACACAUAACAAAAAAUUCUCUGCAGAAACUUCACAUUCCUUUCUUCAUUUCACACUGAUUUUUCUUUUCUUGAGUUUCAAAUUAAAUACAGAAAAAAAAAGAAUUCAAAGUUGUUUUUCCUUCCAUCUUUCUACUGGCUUUGCUUCAAUUGUGCUGGGAUUUCGAGUGGCUGUUGAUCCUGUUGUUCCUGAGUUGCUGAGAUUCAUCUCUUGAUUUCAGACUUUUGUUUGGUUUUGUCUAGCUGAUUUUGCUGCAUUUAGGUAUAGAAGUUUGCCUGAGUUGAAGUGAAAUUCAUUGGCCAUAUUUGCUUGUGUAGCUAUUUACCGUAAUGAUUUGAAGAAGGAACACUGAUUUAGAAAGAUUAUUUUGUAGAGUAGCUAUUAUUGUAAUAUUUGCUCGUGGCUAUCAUUGUAACAAAUUGGGAUUAUUCAACUAUCGAUUUUGUAGUUUAAUUGUCGAUUUAGUAAUUUGAUUUUGCUCAA